rnacentral:rRNA from 1 species
UACGUAGGGUGCAAGCGUUAAUCGGAAUUACUGGGCGUAAAGCGUGCGCAGGCGGUAAUGUAAGACAGUUGUGAAAUCCCCGGGCUCAACCUGGGAACUGCAUCUGUGACUGCAUUGCUGGAGUACGGUAGAGGGGGAUGGAAUUCCGCGUGUAGCAGUGAAAUGCGUAGAUAUGCGGAGGAACACCGAUGGCGAAGGCAAUCCCCUGGACCUGUACUGACGCUCAUGCACGAAAGCGUGGGGAGCAAACGAGG